GCAAACACAUCCAAUCAGAGUUCUUCUGUAUUUUUCAAACUGGAGUUGGAAGAGCUAUGAGCUGAGAGGUGUGGAAACUGGGAACUGAUGUCUGUCAUUGAUUUAGACCUUGGCCCUUGAUAAGUACUUUCACCAAAGGAAAGAAAGAAUAAAUAAGCUGAGGCACUGUCAGGGCGUACCUGUCAGCCCAUCUUCUUCUUCCCUUGGCAUGAGCUUUCUCUACAGGAUCUUCGUUUUCCCAUUUCACAGAUGAUGCCCAGCCUAAAAUCACCCAGACAUUCUCCUACACAGUUGGAUCAAGUGACAGCAGACUAGUCAAUGUCAUAUUCCCAGGUCUUCUAAACCCCAGCCGUGCUGAGAAUCAGGGCUUUCUGAAGGUAAUACCAUUUCCAGAGCUGCAUGAAGCAACUUGUCUGACCAGUCCAGAUUCAUUGGUUACGAAAUGAAGCCACUCUGAGGGAAAAGUCCAGUCCCACAACCGUAUACCUCCUCUGAAAUCACUGGUAGACUUUUGUUCAUGCUGGGUGCUCUAAAUUCUCAGCUUGGAAUUUUACCCAUCUUGUUGACCAAGACAUGUCUACUUCUUAAACAACCAGGGAGCCAGAUCCAGUCUAAAUCUACCUUGAAAUUCCCUCUUCAUCAGAGAGAGAUUAAAAUCCAAAGGACUCCACAUCAUGUGAAUCAUUAACCAAACUAAAAAUUCCAGACCUUGGAAUUUGCUAAAAUGUAUAAGAUUGGGGGCGUUCUAAACCAAGUCUCUGAGCUACACAAUAUUUUGAUUGUAAAAUGUAGGGUGAAUUUAAUAAAA